AGUUAUAUAAAUGUGAGAUGUCAUGUUUUUUUAUUUCAUUUUUGUGCAAAAUGCAUAUGACUGCUUAUAAAUGCAUGUUAUUAGAUGCUCAUGUAUAGUAAUUCUAUAAUUUUUUUCGAAUUGAGUUGUGAUUGGUAUCAAUUGCUAUUGCUCCAUCGCAUCCUCAACAGUUGGUUGUAGAUUGUUGUUUGCGGGGAGCAAGGUUGUAUGGGCGACAAUUAAUCAUACCCUUCAAUAAUAAAAUGUUAUUUUCUUUCAAAUACUAAUUAGAACAACAUAUUUAAAAUUUCAAGAGAUGGUACAAGUUCAAUGAGAACGAGCUAUGCAACAAAAAGACUUCAUUUCAUAUAUGGAUAAAGGAAAUACAAAAGUGUUUGGCUUUUUGUGUUAUGGAUGGAGUUACAGGAGUUGGUUAUAAAUAACAAAACAUGUUGGAGCCCCACUAUUCAAUCAUUGACUAUCCAAAAAUUGCCACAGUAAAUUGUCUUAAUUUUUUAUCCACAAAAAAUUUGCCCCAGUAUUGACUUAUUGGCUUGUCCUCUUGAGAGACCUUUUUUUUUGUGUCCCUAACUUUUGCUUAGAUCGCCCUCUCGGUUUUUCGACCUAACAGAGCUCCAUCGCAUCCUCAACAGUUGGUUGUAGAUUGUUGUUUGCGGGGAGCAAGGUUGUAUGGGCGAC
rnacentral:lncRNA from 1 species